rnacentral:rRNA from 1 species
GGGAGGUGGCGGGGUGCUAUACAUGCAAGUCGAGCGGACAGAAGGGAGCUUGCUCCCGGAUGUUAGCGGCGGACGGGUGAGUAACACGUGGGUAACCUGCCUGUAAGACUGGGAUAACUCCGGGAAACCGGAGCUAAUACCGGAUAGUUCCUUGAACCGCAUGGUUCAAGGAUGAAAGACGGUUUCGGCUGUCACUUACAGAUGGACCCGCGGCGCAUUAGCUAGUUGGUGAGGUAACGGCUCACCAAGGCGACGAUGCGUAGCCGACCUGAGAGGGUGAUCGGCCACACUGGGACUGAGACACGGCCCAGACUCCUACGGGAGGCAGCAGUAGGGAAUCUUCCGCAAUGGACGAAAGUCUGACGGAGCAACGCCGCGUGAGUGAUGAAGGUUUUCGGAUCGUAAAGCUCUGUUGUUAGGGAAGAACAAGUGCAUUAGUAACUGCUUGCACCUUGACGGUACCUAACCUGAAAGCCACUGUUAACUACGUGCCAGCGCCUCGUUAUGAUUUCGGUGGUACGCC